CCUCAGUAUUCCGCAAAAUUCAAGAGAAAGCCCGUCCCACUUAAACAAACGUUUAAUUAUUGGUUGGAAUAUAUAUAUAAUAAAUAUACAUUGUCAACAAUUGCAAGCUUCUGUUUAUAGGUUGAUGAUGUAAAUAUAGAGGCUUAGAACAAGUACAAAGUGCAAUGUAUUAUUGCAUUCCAGAGUUUGUUGUCAUUUCGGGUGAUAAUUAGUCAUCAUUGCAUAUACAGUGAAGAUUUGUUUACCUAUUUUUCUAUAUAAAUAAAAGUUUUUGUUCGAAACGGAAUAUAAAAUGCAUUCUAAUAGGAACAGAUAUUAUGACAUUGUUUAUACAAAAAAGUUACCAGCGGACAUUCUAGAUCUGUCGGGAGAAAAUACUUAAGAGUCAUUAAAGGUUGACAAUACGGCUGAACCAAGAUGACCAACUCUUCUUUGAUUUAUUCUUAAUUCUAAAUUACCGUUAUUGAUUUAAUUAAUCUUAUACAUUUUAAUUAGAGCCAGACAGGAAUUGCGCCGUGUUAUUUUCAGCCAUGUUAGUCGGUUUAGUUAUACAAAUAGAAUAAUAAAUACUAUCGAAAUCC